GGGAAACUGCCUGAUGGAGGGGGAUAACUACUGGAAACGGUAGCUAAUACCGCAUAACGUCGCAAGACCAAAGUGGGGGACCUUCGGGCCUCAUGCCAUCAGAUGUGCCCAGAUGGGAUUAGCUGGUAGGUGGGGUAACGGCUCACCUAGGCGACGAUCCCUAGCUGGUCUGAGAGGAUGACCAGCCACACUGGAACUGAGACACGGUCCAGACUCCUACGGGAGGCAGCAGUGGGGAAUAUUGCACAAUGGGCGCAAGCCUGAUGCAGCCAUGCCGCGUGUGUGAAGAAGGCCUUCGGGUUGUAAAGCACUUUCAGCGGGGAGGAAGGCGGUGAGGUUAAUAACCUCAUCGAUUGACGUUACCCGCAGAAGAAGCACCGGCUAACUCCGUGCCAGCAGCCGCGGUAAUACGGAGGGUGCAAGCGUUAAUCGGAAUUACUGGGCGUAAAGCGCACGCAGGCGGUCUGUCAAGUCGGAUGGGGAAUUCCCCGGGUUCAACCUGGGAACUGCAUUCGAAACUGGCAGGCUAGAGUCUUGUAGAGGGGGGUAGAAUUCCAGGUGUAGCGGUGAAAUGCGUAGAGAUCUGGAGGAAUACCGGUGGCGAAGGCGGCCCCCUGGACAAAGACUGACGCUCAGGUGCGAAAGCGUGGGGAGCAAACAGGAUUAGAUACCCUGGUAGUCCACGCUGUAAACGAUGUCGAUUUGGAGGUUGUGCCCUUGAGGCGUGGCUUCCGGAGCUAACGCGUUAAAUCGACCGCCUGGGGAGUACGGCCGCAAGGUUAAAACUCAAAUGAAUUGACGGGGGCCCGCACAAGCGGUGGAGCAUGUGGUUUAAUUCGAUGCAACGCGAAGAACCUUACCUGGUCUUGACAUCCACAGAACUUUCCAGAGAUGGAUUGGUGCCUUCGGGAACUGUGAGACAGGUGCUGCAUGGCUGUCGUCAGCUCGUGUUGUGAAAUGUUGGGUUAAGUCCCGCAACGAGCGCAACCCUUAUCCUUUGUUGCCAGCGGUCCGGCCGGGAACUCAAAGGAGACUGCCAGUGAUAAACUGGAGGAAGGUGGGGAUGACGUCAAGUCAUCAUGGCCCUUACGACCAGGGCUACACACGUGCUACAAUGGCAUAUACAAAGAGAAGCGACCUCGCGAGAGCAAGCGGACCUCAUAAAGUAUGUCGUAGUCCGGAUUGGAGUCUGCAACUCGACUCCAUGAAGUCGGAAUCGCUAGUAAUCGUAGAUCAGAAUGCUACGGUGAAUACGUUCCCGGGCCUUG
rnacentral:rRNA from 1 species